UCACACACACACCUGUAUCACACACACACCUGGGGGGGGAGGGGACACACCUGGGGGGGGUCACACACACACCUGUAUCACACACACACCUGGGGGGGAGGGGACACACCUGGGGGGGGUCAUACACACACCUGUAUCACACACACACCUGGGGGGGAGGGGACACACCUGGGGACACACCUGGGGCUCUCACACUCCCCUCCCCCCCCAGGUGCUGGUGCUGCUCCCGGGCCGGGAGGCGCCGGUGCUGACGGCGCAGGUGGGGCUGCCCCCCAUUGCCACCUGAGUGUCACCUGAGUGUCACCUGAGUGUCACCUGUGCCACCUGUCCCUGGUGUCACCUGUGUCCCCUCACCUGUGUCCCCUCACCUGUCUCACCUGUGUCCCCUCCCCCCGUGUCCCCAAUAAAGCUCCCGGUGCUCAGCCCUGGCUCGUUGGGGGAGGGGCGGCCCCAGUGCUCCCAGUGCCCCCCCCACGGCCAUCCCAGUGCUCCCAGUGCUCCCAGUACCCCCCAUGGCCAUCCCAGUGCUCCCAGUGCCCCCAGUGCUGGGUGAGAACCAGUCCCAGUGUCCCCAGUGCCACCAGUGAGCACCACCAGUGCUCCCAGUAUCGCCUCCCAGUGGGGGGGGGGGGGGGGGGGGGGGGGGGGGGGGGGGGGGGGGGGGGGGGG
rnacentral:lncRNA from 12 species